rnacentral:rRNA from 1 species
UGGAAACCUAGUGAAAUAUUUGUUAGUGGCGGACGGGUGAGUAACGCGUGGGUAACCUGCCGUAUACCGGGGGAUAACACUUAGAAAUAGGUGCUAAUACCGCAUAAGCGCACAAUGCCGCAUGGCAAGGUGUGAAAAACUCCGGUGGUAUACGAUGGACCCGCGUCUGAUUAGCCAGUUGGCAGGGUAACGGCCUACCAAAGCGACGAUCAGUAGCCGGCCUGAGAGGGUGAACGGCCACAUUGGGACUGAGACACGGCCCAAACUCCUACGGGAGGCAGCAGUGGGGGAUAUUGCACAAUGGGGGAAACCCUGAUGCAGCGACGCCGCGUGAGUGAAGAAGUAUUUCGGUAUGUAAAGCUCUAUCAGCAGGGACGAAAAUGACGGUACCUGAGUAAGAAGCCCCGGCUAACUACGUGCCAGCAGCCGCGGUAAUACGUAGGGGGCAAGCGUUAUCCGGAUUUACUGGGUGUAAAGGGAGCGUAGACGGUUGUGCAAGUCUGGAGUGAAAGGCGGGGGCUCAACCCCCGGACUGCUCUGGAAACUGUGUAACUGGAGUGCAGGAGGGGUAAGCGGAAUUCCUAGUGUAGCGGUGAAAUGCGUAGAUAUUAGGAGGAACACCGGUGGCGAAGGCGGCUUACUGGACUGUAACUGACGUUGAGGCUCGAAAGCGUGGGGAGCAAACAGGAUUAGAUACCCUGGUAGUCCACGCCGUANACGGUGAUUACUAGGUGUCGGUGGGUAAUAACNCAUCGGUGCCGUCGCAAACGCAAUAAGUAAUCCA